rnacentral:lncRNA from 1 species
GGAGGAUGGCCAAGCGAAAGGAGGCCGCUGCUAGACAUCAUCGUCCCGAGAAACAUGCAGGUACCGAUUACUCUGCAUCGUUUCAGAAUACUAGUAUUUUUUUUCUUCAGCUUUGAUCGUUGCUUCUCGUGCUACGGUUGCUAAGUGACAUCUCAUGUCUCAAGACUGAUCACUGUGCUGCUGUGCCUGUGUUGCAGCUCCUCGUGGAAGCCAAAAUGGAUCAGGAGCUAUCUGAUUCGUCAAGGAGCUGAAUUCUUCGCCUAUGCCUGCCGUCGCCUGUUGUCUACUGGCAACAAGAUUCAGAAUAAUUUAUGUUUUUAUAGUUUGUAGUGCUCCAUCCGUUCAAAUUUUAGGUUUAUUCUUGAACAAUCUUUUUCACUCUAACCAUUUUGAAGAGAAAUAAUACAUCGAUAUGCA